UACGAACCGUCCAAACGUUAUUCGGAAUUACUGGGCUUAAAGGGUUUGUAGGCGGCCUUGUAAGUGGGGUGUGAAAUCCCUCGGCUCAACCGAGGAAUAGCGCUCCAAACUACAUGGCUUGAGGGAGACAGGGGUAAGCGGAACUGAUGGUGGAGCGGUGAAAUGCGUUGAUAUCCUAAGGAACACCGGUGGCGAAAGCGGCUCACUGGAUCUCUUCUGACGCUGAGGCACGAAAGCUAGGGUAGCGAACGGG
rnacentral:rRNA from 1 species